AAAAAUAAUUGAAAAGUUAAAUCCUAUAAGCUAAGCUAUUUUUCUCAAAAUGUUCUAUUUUUCACUUAUGAUUACAUGAGUUAAAGACAAAUUUGUUAAUUUUCCUUUUGUUGAAUAAAUGUUAAUUGUUUAUAAAUAUAUAGACAUAUAAAUUACUAUAUGUAAAUUUGUUUACUUUUUAAGAUUCUCUAUUUUUUUAGAGAAUAAAAAAGUUAAAUUUUGAAUGACACAUGUAAACAUCUGAUCGUUUGACCUGACACGUGGCACAAUCUUAUGAGUUAGCAACUUUAAAAACCAUACUUUAUAUAAUAAAAUUAUUGAUUUACAUGUUUUGUUGCCUAAUUUCUCUAAUGGACGUUAAACUUC
rnacentral:sRNA from 1 species